CGUUAGCGGCGGACGGGUGAGUAACACGUGGGUAACCUACCUAUAAGACUGGGAUAACUUCGGGAAACCGGAGCUAAUACCGGAUAAUAUUUCGAACCGCAUGGUUCGAUAGUGAAAGAUGGUUUUGCUAUCACUUAUAGAUGGACCCGCGCCGUAUUAGCUAGUUGGUAAGGUAACGGCUUACCAAGGCGACGAUACGUAGCCGACCUGAGAGGGUGAUCGGCCACACUUGAACUGAGACACGGUCCAGACUCCUACGGGAGGCAGCAGCA
rnacentral:rRNA from 1 species